AUCCGUCAGAGCAGCCGUAGUAGCUGUGAUGGCGUGCCUUUUGAAGAAUGAGCCUGCGAGUUAGCGGUGCGUGGCGAGGUUAACCCGUGUGGGGUAGCCGUAGCGAAAGCGAGUCCGAAUAGGGCGUUUGAGUCGCGUGUCCUAGACCCGAAGCGGAGUGAUCUAGCCAUGGGCAGGGUGAAGCGCGUGUAAGACCGCGUGGAGGCCCGCACCCACUUCAGUUGAAAAUGGAGGGGAUGACCUGUGGUUAGGGGUGAAAGGCCAAUCAAACUCCGUGAUAGCUGGUUCUCCCCGAAAUGCAUUUAGGUGCAGCGUCGCGUGUUUCUUGCCGGAGGUAGAGCUACUGGUUGGCUGAUGGGCCCUACAAGGUUACUGACGUCAGCCAAACUCCGAAUGCCGGUAAGUGAGAGCGUGGCAGUGAGACUGCGGGGGAUAAGCUUCGUAGUCGAGAGGGAAACAGCCCAGAUCAUCGGCUAAGGCCCCUAAGCGUGUGCUAAGUGGAAAAGGAUGUGGAGUUGCCGUGACAACCAGGAGGUUGGCUUAGAAGCAGCCAUCCUUGAAAGAGUGCGUAAUAGCUCACUGGUCAAGUGAUUCCGCGCCGACAAUGUAGCGGGGCUCAAGCACACCGCCGAAGCCGUGGCACUCGCGCCCGUUGGGGUGUGGGUGGGUAGGGGAGCGUCCUGUAGCCGGUGAAGCCGCCGAGUGAUCGAGUGGUGGAGGCUGCGGGAGUGAGAAUGCAGGCAUGAGUAGCGAGUCAGGAGUGAGAAACUCCUGCGCCGGAUGACCAAGGGUUCCUGGGGCAGGUUAAUCCGCCCAGGGUAAGUCGGGACCUAAGGCGAGGCCGACAGGCGUAGUCGAUGGACAACGGGUUGAUAUUCCCGUACCCGCUGGUAUGCGCCAACGCU
rnacentral:rRNA from 1 species